GAUGAACGCUGGCGGCGUGCCUAAUACAUGCGAGUCGAGCGAACGGACGAGAAGCUUGCUUCUCUGAUGUUAGCGGCGGACGGGUGAGUAACACGUGGAUACCCUACCUAUAAGACUGGGAUAACUUCGGGAAACCGGCGCUAAUACCGGAUGAUAUUUUGAACCGCAUGGUUCAAAAGUGAAAGACGGUCUUUCUGUCACUUAUAGAUGGAUCCGCGCUUCAUUAGCUAGUUGGUAAGGUAACGGGUUAUCAAGGCAACGCUGCAUAGCCGACCUGAGAGGGUGAUCGGCCACACUGGAAGUGAGACACGGUCCAGGCUCCUACGGGAGGCAGCAGUAGGCAACCUUACGCAAUGGGCGAAAGCAUUACGGAGCAAGGCGGCGUGAGUGAUGAAGGUCUCCGGAUCGUAAAACUCGGUUAUUAGGGAAGAACAUAUGUGUAAGUAACUGUGCACAGCGUGACGGUACCUAAUCAGAAAGCAACGGCUAACUACGUG
rnacentral:rRNA from 1 species